CAGCAGGCUACCGAACUUCACUUUCUUUGCUUUCCAUAAAUCUUGUUGAUUCUCUAAUAAAUUCCAGUGUGCUCUCUUACAUGAUCUAUUUGAAGUGUAACUAUUUACUUGCUAUUUUGAUUCCUCUCCAAGAAAGCAGCACUCACUAGCUGCUAGCCAGCCAUCUGAAACCAGAAGCAUUUUGUAUUUUAAUGUCUUAUUAUGUAUUUUUUAGUAUAAUGUUGAAAAACAGUAGUGAGGGGAGCAUACUUGCCAUGUUCCUGAUAUUAGUAGGUAAUGGUGUUGCCCCACAGACUUUUCCAGAUUUCGAGUAUUUUCUCCUGUAUGCAUAUUUGUUGGAGAGUUCAGAAAGAUUGCUCGAUAGAGUGUUUAUAAUAUCAGAGUCUCCCAGGCUACAUUAUAGAGGAACAUGUGCCAGUUUCCUUGGCUUUGACUGCUGGAGCUCAAGAGAAGACUUUAAUAGCAAUAUCCAGCAGUCUUAAGAUGGAGUAACAUGAUGUACCAAAUCUACAGAAGAAUAUCAAAGACAUUAAGGAAGUAAUUAUAUUAGGAAGAAGAGAAAGAGAGCCAACAAAGGGUAGAAGUUGAAGUGCAUUACAUGUGACCAGUUAUUAGGGUCUCAAACCAUCUCGGAACAUGCUGUUGGAUGCACGUAUACUCUGAGUGAAAUGCUUAAUUGUUGUAGUGAUGUGAAGAAGAAAGGUGGUGGAAUGACAUGGAAGAUGAGGAAGAGUUGCUAUUUGAAAAGAGAGGGACAACCAUCAUUGAGAAACACUAGAAUUAGGGUAAAUAAAAGGCUCAGAGACUGUAGACCCCUGAGAAUUGGACAACAUCUUUGAAGGUUGACAAAAUUCUAUUGAAUGUGGGUUUAUAUGCAAUUUCACCAAAAACUCAGGUGGCAGAGAGCUCUUCAAUUGAUAUUUAGCUUAUGGUCUUGUAGUAUGUGGAGGCCAAAAGAGCUGAGAAGUUACAACUAAACCUCAUCUGAAGUCUCAUUAGCAAUUCUAGAAAAUAUAAUAUGAUAUAUAGAGGGCAACCUAAUCUUUCACAGUUUGAUAGGGCUUUGAAAGAUAUAAAUCUUUAGAACCUACUUUUUUAUUCCUUAAUAAAAUUAAGUCUAGAGUCAGCCUUGCAGUUGUUGUUGAGAAAAACAUUAUGUAAUAUGUGAUAUAGAAAUUAACCAUGACCUUGCCUAGACUAUAAUGAUGUAGCAUUAAUUUUUUAUUCUAUUUUAGAGAUAAAAAUUAAGCAAUGGUCAGUAUAUUCUUGUGAAUUCCUUCCUAAAGGUAUGAUGGUUUUAAUUAUGAUGGUCUUCUGACAGAAUGCUCUAAACUCAAGUCAAUUAUUAAAAUGCUGCUUCUGGUAAAACAUAUAUACAUUCGUGUACCUUAGUGAUAAUCACACUGGGACAAUUCAGAUUGAAAAUGUGUACCACCUGCUUCUAUUUGAGUUAUAAAUUAAGGUUCAAAUACCAUAAAUAAGAAUGCUGAAUCACAUUGGCAGGUGAUAUUGUCAAAUGGAUACACUCCCUUUUUUCUUAUAUUUCCAUUAUGUUGCAUAUAGACACAGCUUCAUAGUCAGAGACUUAUCCUUUUCUACUAUUUUUAUACUAACUUUAUAGCUAUAAUUACUCUUGGCCAUGGGUUUCAGAAUGGCAUUAACUUCUUGCAAGCUGUUAUUAAGUAAUAUCAGGAAGCCAAAUCAUUCUCAGUUCAAUUUCCAGUAGAGGUAAUCCUCUCUCAUUUAACUGACUAGUAAAUUGGAAAGAAAAAAAAAGCCUACAACCUAACAGCAUGAGAUUAAGUGUAAUGAAAAUAUGCCAGAUAUUUGUAUAAAAUGACAAAUGUUGGUUUUUGGAUAUUUGGUUCCCAUUAAAUUUAACAUAUAUUACUUGAGACAAAUGUCAAUAUUUGGCAUAUUUAUCAACGUAAAUUGAGGAGUUUGGUCUGUCUUUACUCAAAAUAUUUUACAUGCUUUGGGCAGGACAAGGAGAGUCUCUGUUUACUCAAUAAAUUUUCCAUUUCUAAAAGCUGAAUUUCAUUUUUUAAAUAACUGACUGUAUAGGCUAUUUAUAAAACAUUUUUUUCUUAAGUCUGAGGUUUAGGAGAAAAUAUUAGUCUUAUUAUUUAAUGCCCAACAUUUAAUUUUCACUAAGCAAGAAGAGUAAAUAAAAUUUUUAAAUAAGUUAAUAACUAACUAUGUUCUGUCAUGCAAAGUUUGAAAUGUAUUAUUUCACCAUGUACCCAAUAACAAUUACACCUAAAAAUAAAACAAACUCAUGUCAUGGGGGUUUGUUGUACAGAUUAUUCUGUCACUCAGGUAUUAAGUCUAAAAUCCAAUAAUUACUUUUUUGUUCCUCUCCCACCUCCCACCCUCAGAUAGGCCCUAGUGUCUGUUUCUUCCAUCUUGUUGUCCAUGUGUUCUCAUCAUUUAGCACCCGCUUCUAAGUAAGAACAUGUGGUAUUUGGUUUUCUGUUCCUAUAUUAGUUUGAUAAGGAUAAUGGCCUCCAACUCCAUCAAAUUUUCUGCAAAACAUAUGAUCUCAUUCUUUGUUAUUGGUGCAUAGUGUUCCAUGGUAUAUAUGUGACACAUUUUCUUUUUUUUUAACUUUUAUUUUAAGU
rnacentral:lncRNA from 10 species